rnacentral:rRNA from 1 species
CCAUCCGCCAGAGAACUACGAGUGAAAAACUUAAAACUCAAAGGACUUGACGGUGCCCCAUACCAACCUAGAGGAGCCUGUCCUAUAACCGAUACUCCACGCUAAACCUUUCCCCCCCUCGUACCAAACCAGCCUAUAUACCGCCGUCGCCAGCCUGCCUAGUGAUAGCCACAAAGCAAGCAAAACAGUAUGCCCACUAGCACGUCAGGUCAAGGUGUAGCCAAUGGGUGGGUCAGAGAUGGGCUACAUUUUCUAACCACUAGAAAACACUUCAGGCAAUAUGAAACCUAAGCCACAUCGGCGGAUUUAGCAGUAAAUACUGGCAAGAAAUGCCUAAUUGAAACAUGCCCUGGGGCGCGUACACACCGCCCGUCACCCUCCUCAACAAAAGCACACCAAAUAUAUAAAUCGAAUCACCACCAUAGAUGAGGCAAGUCGUAACAUGGUAAGCUCACCGGAAGGUGAGCUUGGCACAUCA